rnacentral:lncRNA from 1 species
AGCCCAGCCCUUGCUAGAAAUUCAUAGAGUCUGAUACCAUUGACCCCUAUUGAGCAUCCUGACAUAACCCCUGCUAAUGUUAAUCAUGAAUUCUUCUUUUGAGAAAUAUGAAGAUUUUCUCUCCAUUUUCUCUCUCUACUUUCUUCAUAUUUAUCAACUUUUUCUCUUUAAAAAGAUCUAGGGAUCCUAGUAUCAAACUAUGUCUUCCUCUUCUAGAGAUCCAUGUUGACUUCAACAAGAUGAUCUGAAACUACUUUGAUAUUCGACCAUAUGAUAAAUCCAUGUCGGGUAUGUUUAGUAUCUUUGAAACCCACUAUUGAUGAACUCUGUUGGUUGAUUUUAUCCUUGAUCCAAUCCAUGCUUCAUGAUUCCUUAAUCAAGUCAUUUAGAUCUGACCCAUGGCUAUGAGAUCU